GCGGCAGCGGCAGCGGGGCAGAGGGGUUCGUUGAGGAAGGAUUGUUUGGCAGCGCUGAACGUAGCCCCAUGGCUCAGCCAUGGAUGCAAUCUUAAGAUUCGGAUGCUGCAUCAUGUGCUGAUGUCAAAGAAAAAAUUUUGUGCUGAGAAUUGAGGUCUUGUUUGUGGCCAGGUGGUCUGGUGCAAAUGCUACUACAAGAUAACUGUUCUUUUUGUGUGAACUGAUGCCAGUCUGAGUCUGAAUAUUUGCGUGAACUGUAUUUGUGUGAACUGAUGCCAGUCUGAAUAUUUAUGUGAACAUUGUGAGAAUUUAUUA